GAGGGUAUAGCUCACCGGUAGAGCGCAUGCUUAGCAUGCAUGAGGUCCUGGGUUCAAUCCCCAGUUCCUCCA
rnacentral:tRNA from 1 species